rnacentral:rRNA from 1 species
AUUGAACGCUAGCGGGAUGCCUAACACAUGCAAGUCGAACGGAGUGGCGCACGGGUGAGUAAUGUAUAGGUAUGUGCCCCGUCGCGGGGGAUAAGUACGCGAAAUCGUAGCUAUUACUGCUACCUCUUGGCACGGACCAUAUGGGAUUAGCUAGUGGGUGGGGUAACGGCUCACCAAGGCGACGAUCCGUAGCUGGUCGGAGAGGACGACCAGCCACACUGGGACUGAGACACGGCCCAGACUCCUACGGGAGGCAGCAGUGGGGAAUUUUGGACAAUGGGCGAAACCCUGAUCCAGCCAUCCCGCGUGUGCGAAGAAGGCCUUCGGGUUGUAAAGCACUUUUGGCAGGGAAGCGUUACCUGCAGAAGAAGCACCGGCUAACUCCGUGCCAGCAGCCGCGGUAAUUC